CGACUCUCGGCAACGGAUAUCUUGGCUCUCGCAUCGAUGAAGAACGCAGCAAAAUGCGAUACUUGGUGUGAAUUGCAGAAUCCCGUGAACCAUCGAGUUUUUGAACGCAAGUUGCGCCCGAAGCCAUUAUGCUGAGGGCACGUCUGCCUGGGCGUCACG
rnacentral:rRNA from 2 species